rnacentral:tRNA from 1 species
ACCUGGCUGGCUCAUUCAGUAGAGCACAUGACUCUUAAUUUUGGGUUCAUGAGUUGUCACCCCAUGUUGGGUA